UUGGGCUUGCCGAGUGGGUUUUACUAUCUAGCAAGCUUCUCCUCUUCCCUUCCUUCCUCUCUUAAUCCUUCUAUUACGGAACAAAGAAAACCUUCCUUCCACCUCCUGUCCACAUUGAUAAGAGUCGCUAUACACAGCGUUUCUCUAUCCUUUGUCUCGAGACGACUUUAAUGCCCCAACAGCCAAUCUUUUUGGGAUAUAUGACCUAGAACCCGCUGAGGAGCUCAUUGCAGUGGACAAUGUAAUACUUUGGGAGGAGGAUAUCCCCGCGACCGUGCUCUGACGCCACAAAGCUAAGUUUACAAAGACGUUUUCAAACGUAGUCACACGCACCCAUCUCAUCCGCUACCUUACCAUGCUUUUCACUUCAGCCUGAAAAACGCCCCAAAAAACGCUUACUCCGGUUUUCGUAUCCAGGCCAUUAUUGUUUUUAAAAAAAAACGCUUACUCCGAACGCGUUCCGAACUGACCAACUGUUUUUGUUUGUGUAAAUAAAUAUUAUUUUAAUGUUUUUGUUUUUUUUAUUUAUUAUCUGAUGUGGUUUCUUUCACAAGGUCUCAAAGUGAAUAUAUGAUAUUUUUUUAAUAAAUCGAACCAAAUCAUUUUAUAAUUAUAUAAUUAAUUACCUAAUGCACUUGUUAACGAAUUGUAUACCUUUAGAGCAAUAAUUUUAAAUCUUACCAGUACCUAUUCUAGUAAAAUUUUCACACUCGAUGUCUAUUUUUAUCCUAUUAGUAAAAUAUAUUACCGUUUUUACUGCCUCCAUAGUAUUUAUUAGACACGAUUGUUUCCAUAUAUAAUAGUUCAAAUUAUUUACCUAUUUAAAUGCAUAAAGUAGGCGAAUCGAAGACUUUCAAGAUUUAGGGUAGUUAACAUGGUAUAAUAAUACACUCCGCCUGGUACUCUCUUCCCGUCUUUUCGUGGUCACGUGACUGACACAAGCCUACGUCAUCAUACGACAGCGCUAUAUGAUAAUAUGCGAUAGCGCUAUAUGUAUAUAGCGGCCAUGUUGUGACGUAGGCUUGUGUCACUCUGGGAAGAGAAGAUAUGGGUAGUAUAACUGGUUUUAUUUAAUUAUACUUAGCGAAAUUAUGUAUUUAUUAACAUUGCGACGUUGCCGACGUUAUGUUAUCAAAUAUUGCAAUACAAUUAAACAACGAUUUGGUUUAAUCAUAUGGUUUACAAAUAAAAAACAUAUCAUGCACAAAUUGAAGACGAAAUGCUGACAGUCUGCAUAUCAUAAAAUAUACAAAAAUUAGACUAUCCAAAAUGUUUUCGGAAAUGUCAAAGAAUUUAUAGAAGAAAAAUACGCCAAAAUUUUUCGAAAAUCUGUGUGUGUAGCCAACGGUGCCAGUAGCAAACGUACUUGAAAACAUAUUUCCAUUCUCUUUCUUCAUAGUGAUGAUGCUAGCGUAAGAAAGAGAUGACUGGAUUGUUAAAUGAUCUAUCAUAAGAUAUACCUACUUUACUACGUGCAAGUGACGACUAGGCCAGGGCUAUAACCGCGAAAAUCGGAGUUCGCAAAUUGCGGGCAUAUCUUUCUCUGUCACUCUAAUUACGCUUUCAUUGGAGUAGAAGAGAAAGAUCCCCGCAAUUUGCGAAUUUCGGUUUUCACAGUAGCCCCUCUGAUCCGCCUGACGGUACCUCGCCUUAAUGGGUAAAUGCCUAGAGUUAGACCAAGAAAAGUCUGCAGCGAUUUUGAUAGCCCACGAGCGCAGUGCAAGGUUAUUUUAAAUGUCAAACGUCUAUGAAAUUAUGACGUACAAAUAACACUUGCACUGCGUGGGCUAUCAAACCCGCAGCAGACUUUUCUUGGUCUAACUCUAGCAUACUGUAUCAAGAAUGUUUUAGUGGCAUCAUUGGCUGGCCGUAUGCUUAUUUGCCACUGACGUGGUAUAAAAAAAAAAUUAUUGACUACCAUAAUUGUUAUCUUUGACAUUUGCGUGAACAAAGGAUCGUAGCUUCUUAUAUUAUGUAAUCUCUUAGGGAGAAUGUUGAAACUAUUUUUGUGAAAUCUGAGACGGUAGCACGCUAGCUGGCCAUCUCUCUCACCCACAUAAUAUGUUGGUAACUAUUGCGAGAGAGACAACUAGCGUGCUAUCGCCACACGCUUAUAAGUCAAUCAAAGCACUGCCUUAUUCUAAGUAUAAAAAUGUUUUUCGUUAAGCGAGUUAAGCAAUAAACGACACUGCCCUGUUCACGCCAAUUUCAUUUGCAAGGAGAGUGAGCAAGACGCAAGUAUGGUGUGGAUAUUUCAGGUUCCUUCCUUCUUUUACUUCACGCACAGUAAGAAGAAUGUCCUACAUCGACCCGCCAUUUCCUAUCUCUAUCCCACGCACAUAAUUAUAUUGCUGUCCCGCUCGCAUAGUGUCAUUAACCGCCAGAAUUAUCGGCGGGAUAUCAAUAUGAUUAUAAGCGCGUGCGAGAGAGAUGGGCGGAUAAAUGUACGAAAUUAUUAUGCUUAUCUCCCUUACUUUACUAAGUUUGGCCUAUGAAUCGCCUAAAAUACAAGUUUGGAUCAUUAUUUACUCGGUUUCACUUUCGUGGACACAUUUUGGAAAAUUGGUUGUAAAUUUUGAAAUCCCCUUCUAUAAAAAACACGAUAGUGAUUUGAAGCAAAUAUACACAUAAAUUGCACCGACGCUGCUAGAAAAGGAGAGCUUUGUGAGCAUAUGUCGAAGAAUGACAAAAAUUAAAAGCGGCCAACAAUGUUCAAUUUCUCAAGGAACUCUUAGCGUAUUUACUUUUUUAUGAUAAAAUCAAACUAAGUAUAGCUUAAAUGUUUGUGGGUGCUUAUCAAAGUGUUAAAUGAAAGGCAGCUAAUAUAGGUAGGUAAUAUAAAUCUGCCUUAAAUUUAACAUUUCAUGAUAUAACCUCCUGGAAAGCCAAGAAUCAAGAUUGCAGGCGUGACAUACAAUAAAAUUCACAUUGUUUGAUUGUCAUAGAUUUGAGAGCACGCUCGGGCUAAAAUGGCAGGAAAUUUUUACGGCAGCUAAAACAAAUACAGUUUAAUAAUUAUAAGUGAACUUAGUGAAAUAUGGUCCUCUGUGCCGCGAUCACAAAGUUUGUGAGACUAUAUAAGGUGGUGGUACUGGUGCUCGACGCGGUCCCAGUACAUGGCAUCUUGAAACUUAAGUCAUUGUCAAUAGAGGUGACAGCAGGGUGUCAUCUAUUGGGCAUUAGUAUGUCGAGCACUAGUACCACCACCUUAUGCCGUUUCUACCGAUCAAGAAAACAUCUAAAUAUCUACGCGUGGUUCAGCAAAAUAAUGUAUAUACGCGUGUAAAAAUUGGCCUAACACGUCGAUCGCAUAUGGAAUUAUGCCGGUAUUCGUAGCUAUGAACAUAUGUUGUUAAAGAAAAACACAGCUCAUUAAAUCUCCUGCAAAAUCUAUAGGGAACAACCAGUCGGCUUCUCUCACCUUCAACUAGGUACUUGGAAUAAUGCACUUUCUGGCUCCCCCGUCAAAACCGCACCAAGGACCCUAAAUUACCUAUAAUAUUAAUUAUUAUGAGCUUUUAUAAUAUCUUUACAGUAUUGUAUUUGUGAUAUAAAAACCAGAACACUAUAACCAUUUGUGAAUUGUUUUUUAAUGUUUAAUCAAUUAAUUAUUAUAUCAAUUGAUGUCACGAGACAAAGUUGUUUUUGUAGGUGGUCAAAAAAUUAAAAAAAAAUGUUUGUAGGUGACGUCUCACUUGGCCAUCUGCAUAUAUAACUUUGCAGCCAAAAUGUUGCUGUAUUGAGCUUAUUGCUGUUUUAAGCAAUUGUUUUAUGACCUCAUUAAUUAAAAUAUCGGAAACCAGAUGAAACAUCGAAAUUUUAAGCGUUAAAUUAAAUAUAACCUAAAAUAAUACACUUAACCUAACUGUCAAUUUACCUACAUCACACGCAACACGCCUUGAAAUAAAAUAAAAGAAGUUUAUAUCCAUGUUACUUUAAUAGCUGCUUGUCAUAAUUGGAAAUCAAAAUUCACCUUAAAAAAACAAACUCUAAAAAGGUCGAUAAAAUAUAUUUGCGCCCCAAAUGUUAAAAUUUUUACGGUUCAUUAAUUUUUUUUUUUUUUUUUUAAUUAUGAAUGGGCUUACUCAUGGCCACAGACUAGCCGAGGCGUAGACGUGGCCUACAAUGGAGCGAGCUCGCCCAGAAGGUGCCUGUUCACUCUUGAUUUGAAGGUUGCCGGGUUAUAAGAACACGGAAAUAUAGACGCCGGCAAGGAAUUCCAUUCCUUGGCAGUGCGCAUAAGGAAAGUAGAAGCAAAAUGGCAGCCCUUUUCUCUAAUUAAUGUAAUUACUGAUAAUAUGUAUGGUAUCGGGUGAAACUUAACUCAUUUAUGAUGUUUUACGAGUGCAAAAGUUUAUUGGGUGCGUGACGUAUAUUUGAUAAACAAUUAUUGUUGACCCCAGAGUUUACAUGAAUGUAAAAUUAAGUUCCAUUGAAAGCUGACUGUAAAUUGUUUCGCCCCACUUGUUAUAAUGUUGCUCGAAUUAAAAAUGCCUUAUGACAGAAAAGAGCACUAUUUUUCCGAUUGUAACCAUUUUUAAUUUACUGGGUCCAAGACUGUUUCAAGACUAGGCUGUCGUAUUCUUCCUUAAACCUAAGUAUACACUAUCUUGUUAAUUUAUUACCACAGCUAUCAUAGUGUUGCAACAUAUUGGCUUUUUAUACCUACACAGUCGCUGAGUAGUGCGUAUCGUAUGGUAGGUGGGAUGUAUAGUGGCUGCAAAGUUUCGUUGAAAAAAGUUUCAAAUGUUUUAUGACAAUACUCAAUAAUGUGUCUUAAUAUAAACUAGUUGCAAUACCGGCAAGUUGAUUUUAAGACAUAUAAUGUUAUUGUUAUUUUAAGAUACUAUUUUAAAAAUUCUACGCAAUUUUGCAGCUUGUGCGAUCUAAUAUUUUAUAUCAAUCAAGUGUGUAGUUUGGACUCUGAGGAGUCAGAAUAAUUAAAUUAUAUUAGUUACUUGUUACAUGAAUAUAAUGGUAUAAAUAAUGGUAUUGUUUCACACGUUGUAUUGACCGAACAUUUGCUGGGAAAAAUAUUAAAUACAUGUUCUUUGAAAAUAUAAUAUCUUCAUAUACGGAA